GUGCACAUUUUCAAAUUUGUCCCACACAGGAAUGCCAACUGAAUCAUUUGAAAAGUCUCCAAAAAGGGGAGGGGUAGUGACGGCACUUGUGUAUGUUUUAGUGUAUGUUCUGUUCCUUGUAUCCCACUGCUGUGGCAGUGGGUAGUUAGUCUGCCAUGGGAGCUCAUUAAGAAGAGACUCAUAAUUUCUCUCUUAUAUUCCCAAAAUUAGAUAAAAGUUGUGGAGUGCCACAGUCUGAAGUCCUCCCGCCGGAAGCCACCGCGGUGACUGCAAGAAUUCCUCAUCGGAGAGCGAAGAACGACGCUGAACCUCCUUCAAGCUCCUUAUCCUGGGAGCUGGCGCCCGAUACAAAUUGAAGGAGCUGAGCACCACCGUUUCGGAGGGAUCUACGAGGACCUUGUCAGUCAGGGAGACUCACGUUUGGUGCCUGACAACCUCCGGGAAAGUUUCAUCCCGUUGAGUCGGAAGCUCUGUGCCCGUUGAGCGUUCCACAUCCCAAAGGUGCGAUUUAUCACCGUUUGGCUGGACAGGAAGCACCAGCACUAGCACACCGAAGCACCUCACGACCUGGGAAGCUCAAUCCCAGUGCUCAUUCCCGUCGGGACGUUAAACUCCCGUACGUGCGCUUCAUUUGGGCAAGUCCCACGCCCAGUGUAUAUCAUCGCCGGGACGCCAAAUUCCCGCGCGUGUCAGAGAAGCUCAAACUCUGCACACUAAUCUCCGGGGCGACACAAAACCCCCGUCGAGAAGGCGCCCGUCGAGAAGAAGCACCACGAGAAGAACCUGGGAGACGCUCGUCACCGUCUGAAGAAGAUACGAGGGAUUUGAAUCAUCCUGUGCACCACCAGAGACGUACAGCCGCAACGGAGAGCAUCAGCGAUCAACCCGUCUGCGAGAAAACCCCAAGAGGCCCGUGUAGUUGCAGAGAAGAAGAAUAAACGUGUAAAUUAGAGGGAAGACCACAUCUUCUUAUUUUCCUGGCGACUCAGUAUUGUUUUAUUGGCGCCCAACCCGUGGCGAACCAGAUAAAAGUUGUGGAGUGCCACAGUCUGAAGUCCUCCCGCCGGAAGCCACCGCGGUGACUGCAAGAAUUCCUCAUCGGAGAGCGAAGAACGACGCUGAACCUCCUUCAAGCUCCUUAUCCUGGGAGCUGGCGCCCGAUACAAAUUGAAGGAGCUGAGCACCACCGUUUCGGAGGGAUCUACGAGGACCUUGUCAGUCAGGGAGACUCACGUUUGGUGCCUGACAACCUCCGGGAAAGUUUCAUCCCGUUGAGUCGGAAGCUCUGUGCCCGUUGAGCGUUCCACAUCCCAAAGGUGCGAUUUAUCACCGUUUGGCUGGACAGGAAGCACCAGCACUAGCACACCGAAGCACCUCACGACCUGGGAAGCUCAAUCCCAGUGCUCAUUCCCGUCGGGACGUUAAACUCCCGUACGUGCGCUUCAUUUGGGCAAGUCCCACGCCCAGUGUAUAUCAUCGCCGGGACGCCAAAUUCCCGCGCGUGUCAGAGAAGCUCAAACUCUGCACACUAAUCUCCGGGGCGACACAAAACCCCCGUCGAGAAGGCGCCCGUCGAGAAGAAGCACCACGAGAAGAACCUGGGAGACGCUCGUCACCGUCUGAAGAAGAUACGAGGGAUUUGAAUCAUCCUGUGCACCACCAGAGACGUACAGCCGCAACGGAGAGCAUCAGCGAUCAACCCGUCUGCGAGAAAACCCCAAGAGGCCCGUGUAGUUGCAGAGAAGAAGAAUAAACGUGUAAAUUAGAGGGAA